rnacentral:rRNA from 1 species
UACGUAGGGACCGAGCGUUGUCCGGAAUUACUGGGCGUAAAGCGAGUGUAGGCGGUCUGAUAAGUCGGAUGUGAAAGCCCCGGGCUCAACCCGGGAAGUGCACUCGAUACUGUCAGGCUAGAGUAUCGGAGAGGUUGGUGGAAUUCUCGGUGUAGAGGUGAAAUUCGUAGAUAUCGAGAGGAACACCGGUGGCGAAGGCGGCCAACUGGACGAAUACUGACGCUGAGACUCGAAAGCGUGGGGAGCAAACAGG